UGGGGAAUUUUCCGCAAUGGGCGAAGGCCUGACGGAGCAAUACCGCGUGAGGGAGGAAGGCUUUUGGGUUGUAAACCUCUUUUCUUAGGGAAGAAGAAAGUGACGGUACCUAAGGAAUCAGCAUCGGCUAACUCCGUGCCAGCAGCCGCGGUAAUACGGAGGAUGCAAGCGUUAUCCGGAAUUAUUGGGCGUAAAGCGUCCGCAGGUGGCACUUCAAGUCUGCUGUCAAAGACCAGAGCUCAACUCUGGGCAGGCGGUGGAAACUGGGGAGCUAGAGUACGGUAGGGGUAGAGGGAAUUUCCAGUGUAGCGGUGAAAUGCGUAGAGAUUAGGAGGAACACCGGUGGCGAAGGCGACCACCUGGACGGGUACUGACGCUGAGGCGCGAAAGCGUGGGGAGCAAACAGGAUUAGAUACCCCUGUAGUCC
rnacentral:rRNA from 1 species